rnacentral:rRNA from 1 species
AUGGCGGACAAGCCGAGCCGGGCGCUGGUGCUGUACGCCGCCGACCACGCGGCGCUGCUCGCCGGGGGCGGAGGGGGGAAGGGCCAGCUCGACGCGUUCGCCUCCAUCGCCUCCUGCGGCUUCCUCUCCGUCCGCACCCCCGCGGUCAACGAGGAUGGAGGGGACAGGAACAGCGACUCGAUUCUCGAGCUGGCGCAGCUGCUCGACGUGUACGAUGCCCUCUACCCUGCCAAGGAUGGGGAAAUUGCCCGGGUGGAUCCGCAGGAGCUAGUAGUCCCCAAGCUAUCCGAGAGGUUCAUGGGGCUGAGAGCUGCUAUGGUCAGCAAUUGCCCCAGUGUUAGCUCAUUCGCGGCGAAUCUUGGCUUCCACCUUUUGGUUUUGUGA